UACAGAGGUCUCAAGCGUUGUUCGGAUUCAUUGGGCGUAAAGGGUGCGUAGGCGGCGCGGUAAGUCGGGUGUGAAAUCUCGGAGCUUAACUCCGAAACUGCAUUCGAUACUGCCGUGCUGGAGGACUGGAGAGGAGACUGGAAUUUACGGUGUAGCGGUGAAAUGCGUAGAUAUCGUAAGGAAGACCAGUGGCGAAGGCGGGUCUCUGGACAGUUCCUGACACUGAGGCACGAAGGCCAGGGGAGCAAACGGG
rnacentral:rRNA from 1 species